GCGGAUGGCGAACAAGAGGAGGUGGUAUAAAUACCUGCAGCGCCCAUUAGCGGUAGUGUGCGGCAGAGCAACGAGAACGCAGACGGGUACAAUGUCACUGGAGAGAUGUCAAAGUGAAUGGAAAGAAAUAGAGCAAGAAUAUGAACAAUUACAGGAAACACACAAAGUCUACAGACAGAAGCUAGAGGAACUGACAAACCUCCAGGCGUUAUGCAACAAUGCCAUCGGCAAACAGAGAAAGGGCCUUAAAGAACUCAAGCAAAGUCUGCAUAAGUGUGCAAGUUCGCACAGCGACAAAGAAUCUGAAGAUUUAAAUGACCUACAAGUGCGAAUUAAAGAGAGGCAAAAUGUCUUUUUUGACAUGGAGGCCUAUUUGCCAAAGAAAAAUGGGUUAUACUUAAAUUUAGUCCUGGGAAAUGUGAACGUUACACUGCUCAGCAACCAAGCCAAGUUUGCGUACAAAGAUGAAUAUGAAAAGUUCAAACUUUAUAUGACUAUAAUACUAUUGUUCGGUGCCGUCACAUGUCUUUUCUUUCUCAACUAUCGGGUUUUCGAUGAGAUUUUAAACUUUUUAUUGGUUUGGUACUAUUGCACAUUAACAAUAAGGGAAAGUAUCUUGAUGAGCAACGGCUCACGAAUCAAAGGCUGGUGGGUUUUACAUCAUUAUGUCUCAACCUUUUUAUCAGGAGUCAUGUUGACAUGGCCAGAAGGUCUAAUGUAUCAGAUGUUCAGAAGUCAGUUCUUGGCCUUCUCCAUUUAUCAAAGUUGUGUGCAGUUUCUUCAGUAUUAUUAUCAGAGCGGUUGCUUGUAUCGGUUACGAGCUCUGGGUGAAAGAAACCAGCUGGACCUUACAGUGGAAGGUUUUCAGUCGUGGAUGUGGAGAGGACUCACAUUUAUUCUUCCAUUUCUAUUUUUUGGCCAUUUUUGGCAGCUGUACAAUGCUGUGACACUUUUUAAGCUGUCUGCACAUGAGGACUGCAGAGAAUGGCAGGUAAAGCCAUAAAGUGUUUGACUUAUACACUAAGAAAUAGAUCAUGUGUAGUGUCACAAAAUAAACCCCAAGAGAUGACGACAGAGAGCUGCAAGUUACAGAUUGCAUCUUAAAAAAAAAAUAAUUCUCUGCAGAAUGCAGCGAUUGACCAAUCAGAAUCAGCCGUGUGAUAAGUGUUCAUGAUGGCCUUGACGUUUCUCGUCUUGUUUCUUGGAAAUUUUCUCACUACUCUGAAAGUGGUCCACCAUAAAAUCCAGAAGAACAAAGGCAAGGUCAAAACCAACUGAUGAGAGGCUGACUGGAGGGCCAAUUGCAGAACACACAGACCUCAUGCGAAACGCACAAAACUCUGUUUUGUCUGGGCGUCCAGGAGCUGUUUUGAAAGGGGGGACAAAUGCUGCCACCUCCCAGAAACAUCAUCAUCAUCAUCAUCAUCAUCAGCUGCGAUGGAUGCUCAAGAUAAUGUCACAUCGCCCUUUCGUCUACUGUUUUUUAUGCAAUAUCAGCUAUUAGAGGCGCUAACCACUAAAAACCUUCGGAGUUUCAAACACUAAAUCCUCAAUACCAGAAGACUUCGAUUCACUUUUAUUUUGCUCCCGUGCAUGUUUACAAAAGCCACAUUUUAACUUUAUGCAAUGCAGCUGUUAGGUUGUAAUACAUUGCGAGGAUUUUUGUGUUACGGUUUUUAAUAAAGCUAGAUAGUCAUUAACUUGCAACAGACCAAGACUUGCUCUCCAAACUAAAGCAUACUUCGUAUUUUAAUAAAAGGAUGAGUGCGUUUCUGCACGUUUUGGCUUGUCGUUGCAAUUAUUGAGAAAUCCCAGAAUUUUGGAACAAGUCAUGGUCAUGUGACUUGUUGUGACACCUUAAAAAUAUGGAUUUGCAUUUUAAAUAAUGGCAAUAAAGCUCCAUUAAUGUUUCUGAGUCAAUUUGGGUCUGAACAAAGCAUUUUUGCAUUUCUGUUGCUUUGUAGUUUCCACCUAUAUUCAAAAGUGUAGAUAUUCAGCUGUAUUAAAAAUGAUCAGGUUAAAACGCUGAAUAAGUAUGCUGUUACAAUUACAUCUACUGUGAUAAGGUGAGCUGGUUCUUAAUCGUGUAUGAUUGUGCUCACAAAUGUAAUAUGUACAUUUACUGUCCAUUGUAAGAUGUCAAAUGGGAUUUAUAGUUGCUUAUGGCUUCAUUGACGAAACCUUACUACAUUAUAUAACACAGCCAAGUAGUGAAAGAAGUAACUAAAUUCUGCCUUAAUGCUCUUAGUUAUUGCCUGUUCAUACCUGGUUUUAGUUAGUGGCAAAAUCAUGGUUUUCUGAAUUAUUUGGAAGUGUAAUUGUCUCCACCAACUGUAUUUGAAAGAAAAAGCUGUACUUAAAGGGACAGUAAUCCUACGUCAUAUUUGUUAACACUGUGUAUGUUUUGUCUAUGUGGUCCUUUUGUUUUUGUGUUGAAAUCACUAUGUGCACUUUUGGCUUGAAUAUAAAUCAAAGAGCCUCGAACUGGAAUAAAACAUUUCUAGAAAAUCAAUCUGAAUUCACCAUCCACUGUUACAAGGCAAAUAAAAUCAAUAUGAUGCAAA